UACAGAGGUCCCGAGCGUUGUUCGGAUUCACUGGGCGUAAAGGGUGCGUAGGUGGUGAGGUAAGUCGGAUGUGAAAUCUCCGGGCUCAACCCGGAAAUGGCAUUGGAAACUACCUUGCUGGAGGAUUUGAGGGGGGGAUUGGAAUACUUGGUGUAGCAGUGAAAUGCGUAGAUAUCAAGUGGAACACCAGUGGCGAAGGCGAAUCCCUGGAAAAUACCUGACACUGAGGCACGAAAGCUAGGGGAGCAAACAGG
rnacentral:rRNA from 1 species